rnacentral:rRNA from 1 species
AAAGCGUAAUAGCUCACUGGUCGAGUCGGCCUGCGCGGAAGAUGUAACGGGGCUAAACCAUGCACCGAAGCUGCGGCAGCGAACGUAUCACUUAAAGCGAUUCAGCGGGUUACGAUUGACGGAGCGAAGCGACGUCAAAGCGUAUACAAAGUCGAGUCGGUUUAAGGAUACGUUCGUUGGGUAGGGGAGCGUUCUGUAAGCCUGUGAAGGUGGCCUGUGAGGGUUGCUGGAGGUAUCAGAAGUGCGAAUGCUGACAUAAGUAACGAUAAAGCGGGUGAAAAGCCCGCUCGCCGGAAGACCAAGGGUUCCUGUCCAACGUUAAUCGGGGCAGGGUGAGUCGACCCCUAAGGCGAGGCCGAAAGGCGUAGUCGAUGGGAAACGGGUUAAUAUUCCCGUACUUGGUGUUACUGCGAAGGGGGGACGGAGAAGGCUAUGUUGGCCGGGCGACGGUUGUCCCGGUUUAAGCGUGUAGGUGUGUGUUCCAGGUAAAUCCGGUUCACUUUAACACUGAGGCGUGAUGACGAGGCACUACGGUGCUGAAGCAACAAAUGCCCUGCUUCCAGGAAAAGCCUCUAAGCAUCAGGUAACAUCAAAUCGUACCCCAAACCGACACAGGUGGUCAGGUAGAGAAUACCAAGGCGCUUGAGAGAACUCGGGUGAAGGAACUAGGCAAAAUGGUGCCGUAACUUCGGGAGAAGGCACGCUGACACGUAGGUGAAGUGAUUUACUCAUGGAGCUGAAGUCAGUCGAAGAUACCAGCUGGCUGCAACUGUUUAUUAAAAACACAGCACUGUGCAAACACGAAAGUGGACGUAUACGGUGUGACGCCUGCCCGGUGCCGGAAGGUUAAUUGAUGGGGUCAGCGCAAGCGAAGCUCCUGAUCGAAGCCCCGGUAAACGGCGGCCGUAACUAUAACGGUCCUAAGGUAGCGAAAUUCCUUGUCGGGUAAGUUCCGACCUGCACGAAUGGCGUAAUGAUGGCCAGGCUGUCUCCACCCGAGACUCAGUGAAAUUGAACUCGCUGUGAAGAUGCAGUGUACCCGCGGCAAGACGGAAAGACCCCGUGAACCUUUACUAUAGCUUGACACUGAACAUUGAGCCUUGAUGUGUAGGAUAGGUGGGAGGCUUUGAAGUGUGGACGCCAGUCUGCAUGGAGCCGACCUUGAAAUACCACCCUUUAAUGUUUGAUGUUCUAACGUGGACCCGUAAUCCGGGUUGCGGACAGUGUCUGGUGGGUAGUUUGACUGGGGCGGUCUCCUCCUAAAGAGUAACGGAGGAGCACGAAGGUUGGCUAAUCCUGGUCGGACAUCAGGAGGUUAGUGCAAUGGCAUAAGCCAGCUUGACUGCGAGCGUGACGGCGCGAGCAGGUGCGAAAGCAGGUCAUAGUGAUCCGGUGGUUCUGAAUGGAAGGGCCAUCGCUCAACGGAUAAAAGGUACUCCGGGGAUAACAGGCUGAUACCGCCCAAGAGUUCAUAUCGACGGCGGUGUUUGGCACCUCGAUGUCGGCUCAUCACAUCCUGGGGCUGAAGUAGGUCCCAAGGGUAUGGCUGUUCGCCAUUUAAAGUGGUACGCGAGCUGGGUUUAGAACGUCGUGAGACAGUUCGGUCCCUAUCUGCCGUGGGCGCUGGAGAACUGAGGGGGGCUGCUCCUAGUACGAGAGGACCGGAGUGGACGCAUCACUGGUGUUCGGGUUGUCAUGCCAAUGGCACUGCCCGGUAGCUAAAUGCGGAAGAGAUAAGUGCUGAAAGCAUCUAAGCACGAAACUUGCCCCGAGAUGAGUUCUCCCUGAGACUUAAAGUCUCCUGAAGGAACGUUGAAGACGACGACGUUGAUAGGCCGGGUGUGUAAGCGCAGCGAUGCGUUGAGCUAACCGGUACUAAUGAACCGUGAGGCUUAACCUU